rnacentral:hammerhead_ribozyme from 1 species
AUCCGACUGACGAGUCCCAAAGGGGACGAAACGCGCGUCAAACUGGAU